rnacentral:rRNA from 1 species
AUGAAAAUCAGUGGUUGGAAGGAAAAGCUGCUAUCAGCAGGAGGAAAGGAAAUCCUUCUCAAAUUGGUUGUACAAGCUAUCCCAACUUAUGCAAUGUCCGUCUUUAAAAUUCCUAAAAAAAUAUGCAAAGGAAUCAUUGACGCGAUGUCGCAUUUUUGGUGGGGUGAUGAAGACAAUCAGAAGAGAAUGCAUUGGAUGGCAUGGUGGAAGAUGUGUGUACCAAAAGACCAAGGAGGAAGGGGUUUCCGAGACAUACAUUGUUUUAAUUUGGCAUUGUUAGCCAAACAAGCGUGGCGCCUACUUGAUAAUCCCGAUUCUCUACGUGCCACCAUUUUGAGAGCUAAAUAUUUUCCGGAUGGAGAUUUAAUGAAUGCGAAUCUUAAAAAAGGAUCUUCGUUCACUUGGCAAAGCAUAAUGGCGGGAGUGGAUUCUCUAAAAAAUGGUUAUAUUUGGAGAGUUGGAAAUGGACAAAAUAUAUAUAUUUGGGGAGAUGCAUGGAUCUCGAAUGGGGCCAAUAGGAAAAUUAUCACUCCUAGAAGAGGGCAGCUUCUAACAAAAGUUGCUGAUCUUAUAGAUCCAAUCAACAGUUGUUGGGAUGAAGAUUUGGUAAGACAAACGCUGUGGCCAAUUGAUGUCCAGAGGGUGCUUGCGAUCCCCCUCCCCACGUAUAACAUGUCGGAUUUCAUAGCUUGGAGUUUUACAAAGAAUGGA